rnacentral:rRNA from 1 species
UACGUAGGGUGCGAGCGUUAAUCGGAAUUACUGGGCGUAAAGCGUGCGCAGGCGGUUUGUUAAGACAGGUGUGAAAUCCCCGGGCUUACCUGGGAAUGGCGCUUGUUACUGGCAGGCUAGAGUGUGUCAGAGGGAGGUAGAAUUCCACGUGUAGCAGUGAAAUGCGUAGAGAUGUGGAGGAAUACCGAUGGCGAAGGCAGCCUCCUGGGAUAACACUGACGCUCAUGCACGAAGCGUGGGAG